ACUCAGUGAAAUUGAACUCGCUGUGAAGAUGCAGUGUACCCGCGGCAAGACGGAAAGACCCCGUGAACCUUUACUAUAGCUUGACACUGAACAUUGAGCCUUGAUGUGUAGGAUAGGUGGGAGGCUUAGAAGUGUGGACGCCAGUCUGCAUGGAGCCGACCUUGAAAUACCACCCUUUAAUGUUUGAUGUUCUAACGUUGACCC
rnacentral:rRNA from 1 species